AGUGAACGCUGGCGGUAGGCCUAACACAUGCAAGUCGAACGGCAGCACAGUAAGAGCUUGCUCUUACGGGUGGCGAGUGGCGGACGGGUGAGGAAUACAUCGGAAUCUACUUUUUCGUGGGGGAUAACGUAGGGAAACUUACGCUAAUACCGCAUACGACCUACGGGGGAAAGCAGGGGAUCGUCGGACCUUGCGCGAUUGAAUGAGCCGAUGUCGGAUUAGCUAGUUGGCGGGGUAAAGGCCCACCAAGGCGACGAUCCGUAGCUGGUCUGAGAGGAUGAUCAGCCACACUGGAACUGAGACACGGUCCAGACUCCUACGGGAGGCAGCAGUGGGGAAUAUUGGACAAUGGGCGCAAGCCUGAUCCAGCCAUACCGCGUGGGUGAAGAAGGCCUUCGGGUUGUAAAGCCCUUUUGUUGGGAAAGAAAAGCAGCAGGUUAAUACCCCGCUGUUCUGACGGUACCCAAAGAAUAAGCACCGGCUAACUUCGUG
rnacentral:rRNA from 1 species